GUGGAAAUACGUAACAUUUUGUGGUGCAGCAGAGUGGGAGGCAGAAAAUCUGGAUCUUAUUACCAGUUUGGCCAUGGUCUUCCUAUGUGAACAUGGUAUGGAUACUUCUGGGCAACCUGAAGCUUCUUUGUGGGACAUAACAAAUGGCUACAGCUGCUCAUGCUCAUACCACCCAGAUGUCCUGGGAUGUGGCUGCACAGCAGCCCAGACCUGCUCUUCAACAGCUCCUCAGUUUACUGGGAACUAAGGGAGAAAAUCUAAGGGAGAAAUUUAAUCAGAAUAUGGA